AGAGAGCGGUUUGAUAUGUCACUGAAACCAGCAUCCAGGUGGUAUUGCUCCAUAUGCCUGAGACCCUAACAAAAGCCUAAUUACAACUCAUAUGCCUGGAGCCAGGACAUGUGCAGGAUGGUGAUGUAACUUUCCUCUCUGGAAUGGGUCCUGCACAAAGGAAUGAUAGUAACAUAUUGCAAAGCCAGACACACAGCCAUGAUGGUCCAAGUUAUAUUGGGAUUCAGCCAAUAGAAGAUAUUUUGCCUGUCAUCCCUAAGCUUAGGACAAUAGGGUCCUGCCCACAAGAAAGAUUGUGACAUCUCACUGGACAAGCACCCACCCAGACUCUGCCAAGAGAGGGGAUUAUUACAUAUUGCAGAGCCCAGCACCUAGGUGGAGUGACUCUCAUCUUUUUCUUCUACCCCGUAUAUAGCCAGCUUGGUGACCUACUAUUUGAGUCUAUACCCAGGCCCAGACCACAGAUGAAAUUGUGCAAUAUGUGGAACAAACACCUAAACAAUAUAUAACACCUUCCUUGGCUCUGUCUACAAAGGGCACUUUUAUAUAUCACUGGGACCAUCAACCAGGUGAUGUUAAUUAUCUUCCUGAAACCUGUCUACAAAGAGAGUUGUGUCGUAUACCUAGGCCCGUCAUGUAAGUGAUGUCAGUCCCUUCUACUGCCUUGGCCCUGCACUUACAGUGCAUUGUGACACAUAACAAGGUACUGCACACAGACGAUGUGAUUCUCCUUUUUGGGUUCUGCCAAAAGGAAGCAUUGUAAUAAAUCGCUUGGCUCAGUACCAAGGUGAUGUUUCUUUGCUUUUGCCUGGGCCCUGAUAACAGGGAGAUUGUGAUCUAUUGCUGGGCCCAACAAAAAUGUGAGGUCACUCUCCAGCCGUGGUACUUCACAUAAGCGCCAUUGUGACAUGUAUCUAGGCCAAUUGCCUAGGUGAAGUGAGUUUCCUCUCUUGCCAAAGUCCUGCCCACAGAGGGGGUUUUGAUAUGUCACUGAAAUCAGCAUUCAGGUGAUGUGACUCUUCUGCCAGGGUCCUGCGUACUAGGUGGAUUGUGACAUCUCACUGGACCCGCAACCAUGUAGGUCAUGUGACUUUCAUGCCUUCUCACUGGCCACAGGUGAUGUUGUGCCAUAUAACUGAGACCGUAUCAAAAGCCUAAUAACAAGACGUAUGUCUGGAGCCCCGAUAUGCACAGGAUGGUGAGUCUUAUCGUUCAACUUUUCCACAAGUGUAAUUGUGACAUAUACCUCUGCCCAGCUCCUGAAUUAAUUAUUCUGCCUAGGUAUCGCCCACAAAUGAGAAUUUGACAAAUAACAGAGCCAAGCACCUUGAUGAUUUGACCGCGUUAUCUUAACAAUGUCCUCUGGAGGGAUUGUAACAUAUUUCUGGACCCAUUUUCUAGGUUACAUGACUCUCCCCUCCUGCCUGUGCCCUGAUUCCUUGGUAACUACAGCAUUUCUGAGCACUGCAUCCAAAUGAUAUGACUGUCUUGCCUGGGCCCUGUCAACAGGAGGCAUUGUGACAUAUUUUGGGGCCCAUCAUUUAGGGGAUAAGACUCUCCUCUCCUGCUUGGACACUGCCCACAAGGGACAUUGUGCCACAGCGCUGGACCUAGCACACAAGUUAUGUGACGUUUCUGACAGGUCUGCCUAAAAAGAGGAUUUUGGAAUAUUUCUGGCCCAGCAUUUAGGUGAUGUGGCUGUCCUGCCUGCUUCAUAACCACAGAGGGGAUUGUAACAUAUGCCUAGGCACAGCUCACAGGCAUGAUAAUGACUCUUAUAUAUGGAUUCAGCCAAUAGAGGAUAUUUUGACUUUUAUAACCAGAUUUACAUACAUGCAUGAUGUCUUGGAUCACAUUCCUGUACAAAGGUCACAAAAGAUUACAACACUCACACAUAUUUUACAAAGUCUUUCGGUAAUACAGACAGAGCCAAAGCAGGGCUCAGCACACACGUGAAAUUGUUAGUCAUGUAUCCAGACCCAGCUGACAGUAAGGAUUGUCAUCAUUUCACAUGGAUGAAGCCAACUGUGACACAUGAAAACAGAACAAGUGUGGUAUUGUGAAUCUCAUCUUUGGAAUUUUCUGACAGUACGAUUGUGAUACAAAUUUUUUCCAAGCAACUGUGUAAUUUGACCCUACAGAGUUUUUCCAGCACAUAUAUGGGAUUGUGAUGUCUACCUAGGCCAAUCUCAAGGUGAUGUGACUCUCCUGCCUGGGCCCUUCUCUCAGUAAGAAUUGUGACAUAUCACUGGAUC
ensembl:lncRNA LINC00293 long intergenic non-protein coding RNA 293